rnacentral:rRNA from 1 species
UACGAAGGGUGCAAGCGUUACUCGGAAUCACUGGGCGUAAAGCGUGCGUAGGCGGUUGGUUAAGUCUGCUGUGAAAGCCCUGGGCUCAACCUGGGAACUGCAGUGGAUACUGGCCAGCUCGAGUGUGAUAGAGGAUGGUGGAAUUCCUGGUGUAGCGGUGAAAUGCGUAGAGAUCGGGAGGAACACCAGUGGCGAAGGCGGCCAGCUGGAUCAACACUGACGCUGAGGCACGAAAGCGUGGGGAGCAAACAGG